AUGUGUUUCUAUCAAGGUGUAGCUACACCAACAAUGACUGAUGUGUUGGCUGUAAAAGGUGCACUGAAGAGUAAUGCAAUGACUCAAAAUGUGAACCGCAAAGAAGUGGAAAUGGCGCUGGGGAAGUGGUUUACCGGCACAUGUGACCGUGGAGGGGAGAGGGCUGCAAGAGCCCAAAGAGAAAAAGGAGCGUCCACCACACAGACGCCAUGAGUGUAUUUUGUAUUAGAGUGUAUUUUGUAUUAAUGUAUUUUUUAGAGAUAUGUUUUUUUUUUUUCAGAGAUUUUUUUUUUUAAUAUAUUUUUGAUUUAUUUACCGGUAUGUUGUGAAAUUUAAAUUGUUUUUUAAAGAUUAUGUUUGUUGUUCGAUGUAACAAUUUUGUAUUAAUGUAUUUUUUGGAGAGAUGUUUCUUUUCAGAGAUUUUUUUAAAAUAUAACAGUGUAACACCCUUAUAGAUCCCUUUGAAAGCCCAUCUGGGCAUCCACUGCUGGAUCCUAGGUGCAAACCCACUUUAGACCCAUUUGGGCAGGUGGGGCCCAAAUGGGUCUGACAUGAAUUGCCCAAUUAAGACCCAUGCAGUACCCUUACAGGUCCCACUUUUAGUACGUCUGGGCUUCCACGGCUUGCCCCAAUGUGGAUCCCGGGUGCAAGCCCAUAAUGGGGCCCACAUUUGCUGCCCAUGAAGCCCUCAUCUGGGCCCCACAUGUCAAGAGGCACAUAAUCACUAGGCUUAUGAAUAUUUUUGAGAGAUGAUUAUUUGGCACGAUCCAUCAAGCUCAAACCUAAGACUUGAUUUUUGUGGAUGUUUCUGAGGGAUGCAUAUUCAAAACAUUGUCAACAACAACAAAAAAAAGCCCAAAUUCAGAGCAGACGACAUGUUAUUAUAAUGCAAAAAGUGAAAGCUGUGGAUACUUUUUUUUAUUUUCUUUGAUUUUAGAAAUAAAAUAAUAGUGGUUCUAGUAUUGUGGUUCUUU
ensembl:lncRNA